rnacentral:misc_RNA from 1 species
AGGAUAGCACGAUCCAGCACCAGUGUUGUUUGAAGUUCAUGCGCCCUUUUAUACAUACCUUUUUGAGAGCCAUGUACAUAUUUGUUUGCGGCUUUACAUGGGACAAAUGUUCAGAUUGCUAGGAGUGGGCGUAGAUUUGCUACAAUGGAUGAUGGGAGAUGUCAGCCCAUUGUUACUGUACAAGCAGGCAUAAUCUUCACCCGCUUGCAUGAGAGUUGCAAAGUGAAGAGUCUGCGGAGGCCUAAAGCCAUGUAAAUUCAUGGUGAAGGAUGUAGUUAUCUACCCUUACUGUCCCACCAGAAAAUGAAUAUUCAACUUUUAUACCAAUUUUGGGCCACCACGCAGUUGCCUGAUGUCUAUAGUGACUUGGCAAAAUUUGUAUGUUUCUACUGUUGAGUACAGAAGAAAGAAUUAUAAUUUC